rnacentral:lncRNA from 1 species
CCCCCCAAGAAAAAAGAUCUGUACCGGGAGAACCGGGAGCGCCAUCAAUACUGGCACCGGGACCCCCAGAACCGGGACUGGGGGCUCCGAGACGCCGCCCCCCCCAUCCCCGGUACUGGACUCCCCCAGGCAGUAUUUGGUGCCCCCAAUGGUCCCCGGAUGGGUACCGAGGGACCCCCCCAGACUGCAAUGGAGGCCCCGGGACACCCCCCGGUAGCAGCACCGGGAUCCCCCGGGUGGCUUUUGGUAGCCCCUUUCGGUACUGCGACCCCCGGGACCCCCCAAAACGGUACCAGAAGCCCCGGGACCCCCUUCACGCAGCAAUGGGGGCACCGGGACCCCCUCAGCCCCCCGAGGGUCCCCUCCAACCGGCACUGGGACCCCCAAACUGCUACUGGGACCCCCCCUUGUGCUCCCCCCGUGCCCUUCGGGGGUCCCAAUCCGAUCCCAGUGCUCCCUAUGGGUGUCCGUCUGUCCCCAUCGCACCACAUCUGACCCCGUCCAUCCGUCCCCAUCCGCUGAGCCCCACUGGUCUCUGUCCAUCCGUCUGUCUGUCCCCGUCUGCUGUCUGUCCCCACUGUCCCACCCCAACGUCCCCAUCCGGUGACCCCCCCCCCACCUCACCCCCCGUCCCCAUUGUCCCCCAUUUCCCCGUCCCCCCUUUCCUGUUGGUCUCUGUCCCCACUGUUCCCAUGUCCCCCAUUGUCCCCAUCACCUCCCCAUCUCCCCGUUCUCCUCCGUCUGUCCCACGUCUGUCUGUCCCCACGUCCCCCUUCUGUGUCCCCAUUUCCUUCCCUGUCCCACCAUACGUCCCCAUUGUCCCCACUGUCCCCAUUGGUCCCCAAUGUCCCAUUGUCCCCAUGUCCCCCACUGCCUCAGUUCUCUCCGUCUCCCCCAUCGCCCCCAUCGCCCCCAUUACAUCCCAUAGCUCUGUGUUGUCCUCCACGUCCCACUGCCCCCAUUGUCCCAUUGUCCCCCAUUAUCCCCACUGCCACUCACUGUCACUGUGUCCCCCCAUUGCCCCCCAUUUCCCCAUCGCUCCCCACGUCCCCCCCCGUCCCCAUAUCCCACAUUGUCCCCACCGCGUCCCCCUCCC